rnacentral:misc_RNA from 1 species
GAUGAAGAACGUAGUGAAAUGCGAUAAGUAAUGUGAAUUGCAGAAUUCAGUGAAUCAUCGAAUCUUUGAACGCACAUUGCGCCCCUUGGUAUUCCGAGGGGCAUGUCUGUUCGAGCGUCAUUAUAACCCCUCAAGCUCAGCUUGGUAUUGGGGCCUGCCAUCCUGGCAGCCCUUAAAAUCAGUGGCGGUGCCAUCCGGCUCUAAGCGUAGUAACUCUUCUCGCUAUGGAGUCCUGGUGGAUGCUUGCCAUUAAUCUUUUAACUUCUAUGGUUGACCUCGGAUCAGGUAGGGAUACCCGCUGAACUUAAGCAUAUCAAUAAGCGGAGGA